UGCAAGUCGAGCGCGGGAAGCGAGCGGAUCCCUUCGGGGUGAAGCUCGUGGAACGAGCGGCGGACGGGUGAGUAACACGUGGGCAACCUGCCUGUAAGAUCGGAAUAACCCCGGGAAACCGGGGCUAAUGCCGGGUAAUACUUUCUUUCGCAUGAAGGAAAGUUGAAAGAUGGCUUCUCGCUAUCACUUACAGAUGGGCCCGCGGCGCAUUAGCUAGUUGGUGAGGUAACGGCUCACCAAGGCGACGAUGCGUAGCCGACCUGAGAGGGUGAUCGGCCACACUGGGACUGAGACACGGCCCAGACUCCUACGGGAGGCAGCAGUAGGGAAUCUUCCGCAAUGGACGAAAGUCUGACGGAGCAACGCCGCGUGAACGAUGAAGGUCUUCGGAUCGUAAAGUUCUGUUGUUAGGGAAGAACAAGUGCCGUGCGAAUAGAGCGGUACCUUGACGGUACCUAACGAGGAAGCCCCGGCUAACUACGUGCCAGCAGCCGCGGUAAUACGUAGGGGGCAAGCGUUGUCCGGAAUUAUUGGGCGUAAAGCGCGCGCAGGCGGUUCCUUAAGUCUGAUGUGAAAGCCCACGGCUCAACCGUGGAGGGUCAUUGGAAACUGGGGAACUUGAGGACAGAAGAGGAGAGUGGAAUUCCACGUGUAGCGGUGAAAUGCGUAGAUAUGUGGAGGAACACCAGUGGCGAAG
rnacentral:rRNA from 1 species